UUUUUUUUUUUUUUACAGAAAAUAGAUAAAAUUCCUUAUCACUCACGUUCGUUAUGGUCACUCGUUAUCACCGGAGAAUGUGAGUCUAGGACUUCCUAAUUGAUUCCGAGUAAAUGGACACGUUUCUUAAGAUCAUCCGAUACAACAAUACUCAAAAUAUCGUUAUGGGAAUCCCCUUCUAGCGUUGCCAUUAACAAUGGCGAACGGAGACCUACAAGGCUGAUCCACAAUUGGGAUUGGAAGGACUGACUCGUUCAGUAUAUACCUAACCAGGAUGAUCGGCAUAGGAGCAAGAGAAGAGGAAGAAGCAGCUGCUUCGAUGAUGGGGACCAGAUGGUUUUCUCUUCCUGUAGCAGCUAGCGGGCCAAUGCUGCCAACCCCAUGAACGCGACGUACGGAUGGUCAGGCACAGAUAGAGAGAGACGAAACGACGGUCCCAAAAGAUGGGCCCGAAAGUGGGCCGUUCUCCAAACAGCCUGCCCACCUGCCCCUUCGACCGGGGCCUUUUUCGACUUUAUGGGACACGUGACUGGCCACGAGGAUGACGUCUCAACCAAUGACACCUGUGCACCUGGAUAGCCUCUAUCGCGUACACGUGUAUCACGUAUAUCAAUACAAGAGUGACGUCACCAAGUCAGAAACCAAUCCCGACCCCAACGAGCAUUUACGAAAACGGGACCCGAUGCUGACUAAGUGUCACCUGUUGAACAUGUCUCCUGGGAUAAACACUAAACGCAGAUUCUACAUGUUUUGGGUACAACUGAUUUUCGCACUAGGGACAUGCACUGUCACAUAUGCCAUAGAGCUUUA